rnacentral:rRNA from 1 species
UACGUAGGGAGCAAGCGUUGUCCGGAAUCAUUGGGCGUAAAGCGCGCGUAGGUGGCCUCAUAAGUCCGCUGUGAAAGUCAAAGGCUCAACCUUUGAAAGCCGGUGGAUACUGUGAGGCUAGAGUACGGAAGAGGCGAGUGGAAUUCCGGGUGUAGUGGUGGAAUACGUAGAUAUCCGGAGGAACACCAGCGGCGAAGGCGGCUUUCUGGUCUGAUACUGACGCUGAGGCGCGAAAGCGUGGGGAGCGAGCCGG